rnacentral:rRNA from 1 species
CGGCGUGCCUAACACAUGCAAGUCGAACGGAAACUAGCGCUUCGGAGACUUCGGUCAAUGUUUGCUUGGUUUUAGUGGCGGACGGGUGAGUAACGCGUGGAUAACCUGCCUCAUACAGGGGGAUAACAGUUUAGAAAUGACUGCUAAUACCGCAUAAGCGCACAGUUUUCGCAUGGAACAGUGUGAAAAACUCCGGUGGUAUGAGAUGGAUCCGCGUCUGAUUAGCUAGUUGGCGGGGUAACAGCCCACCAAGGCGACGAUCAGUAGCCGGCCUGAGAGGGUGAACGGCCACAUUUGGGACUGAGACACGGCCCAAACUCCUACGGGAGGCAGCAGUGGGGGAUAUUGCACAAUGGGGGAAACCCUGAUGCAGCGAACCGCCGCGUGAGUGAAGAAGUAUUUCGGUAUGUAAAGCUCUAUCAGCAGGGAAGAUAAUGACGGUACCUGACUAAGAAGCACCGGCUAAAUACGUGCCAGCCGCUGC